UGUUUAUUCAUAGGGCCACUAUACUAGUUUAGGCCCUCAUGGUUUCUUGCCUAAACCAUUGCAAUGGCUUCCUAAUUGAUCUC
rnacentral:pre_miRNA from 1 species